GACGAACGCUGGCGGCGUGCUUAACACAUGCAAGUCGAACGGAAAGGCCCUGCGUUUGUGGGGUGCUCGAGUGGCGAACAGGUGAGUAACACGUGAGUAACCUGCCCUUGACUUUGGGAUAACUUAAGGAAACUGGGCCUACUACCGGAUAGGAGCUCCUGCUGCAUGGUGGGGGUUGGAAAGUUUCGGCUGUUGGGGAUGGACUGGCGGCUUAUCAGCUUGGUGGUGGGGUAGUGGAUUACCAAGGCAUUGACGGGUAGCCUGCCUGAGCGGGUGACCGGCACCAUUGGGACUGAGAUACGGCCCAGACUCCUACCGGAGGCAGCAGAGGGGAAGAUUGCACAGUGGGAGGAAGCCUAAUGCAGCAACGCCGCGUGCGGGAUGACGGCCUUGUGGUUGUAAACCGCUUUCGCCUGUGACGAAGCGUGAGUGACGGUAAUGGGUAAAGAAGCACCGGCUAACUACGUG
rnacentral:rRNA from 1 species